rnacentral:rRNA from 1 species
UACGUAGGGUGCGAGCGUUAAUCGGAAUUACUGGGCGUAAAGCGUGCGCAGGCGGUUUUGUAAGCCAGGUGUGAAAUCCCCGGGCUCAACCUGGGAAUGGCAUUUGGGACUGCAAGGCUGGAGUGCGGCAGAGGAGACUGGAAUUCCUGGUGUAGCAGUGAAAUGCGUAGAUAUCAGGAGGAAUACCGAUGGCGAAGGCAGGUCUCUGGGCUGACACUGACGCUCAUGCACGAAAGCGUGGGGAGCAAAACGG